GGAGAGGUGGCCGAGUGGUCGAAGGCGCUCCCCUGCUAAGGGAGUAAGCGGUCAAAAGCCGCUUCGAGGGUUCGAAUCCCUUCCUCUCCG
rnacentral:tRNA from 1 species